rnacentral:snoRNA from 1 species
UCAAACCAGACUUCAUAGAAUCAUUUCUAAAGUAAACGUCCUCUUCUGAGUUCGUCCAUACGAGCCACAGAAUCCUCAACCUGGCUGACGAGACAAAGCCCUCGGCACCCUAGAGUGAAGCCAAUAUGAUACUCUCGCCAGUUCUCGCGACUGAGACUUGUGGAUCUUUGGAUCCCAAGUAUCUUCGCGAGCAGAGAGUGGUGAUGAUCUUUGACCUGCGUCUCGGGGACUGGCUUCGUGCCGCCCAGCGUGGGAGGUGCCGACGGGCUGAUUCUGACAGGC